AUUGUUUUUUUUUUAUUUUUAAAUUUUAGGUAAAAUUAAAAUUUUUUUAAGUUAUUGUUUAAUUGUGUUUGUAAGUUUCGCUUGUUAAAUUAGAUUAGUACCUAAUUAAUCGAAGGUAAAAAUGUUCAGAAGUAAAGUAAUUUUUAAACUGAAAUAAUAUUGGCAGAUUUUAAAAUUAUCUUUGGAGGUUGAAUUGUAAUUGAUAAUCCUCAUUAACUGCUUGUUAUGUAAGCUCAUGUAUGAUCAUUUAUUAAGUGCUUUGGGUUCUUAAAUUUUAUUUUUUUUUGUAAAAAAAAUAGAUAUAUAUUUGGUUUAUUAAUUUAAGUUAUUUUGACCUACAAUUUUUUAAUUAGUAGAUUUUUAAUUUUGUGUUAAAAAGAAAAUGUAAAAGACAGUAAAAAGGUUUUUAUGUCUUUUUGAAGAGUAUUUUAAAAUGGUACAAA
rnacentral:rRNA from 1 species